CGAUUCUAAAUGAUUAUAAAAACAAAAUAUUUAUAACUGAGGAAGUAUAUGCAGGACAUAUUGUUAUUUAGGAAUUCUUCGUUUAUGAUCAGGAUCG
rnacentral:snoRNA from 1 species